GGGUGUGAAUAUACCAGCACUAAUGCACCGGAUUCCAUCAGAACUCCGAAGUUAAACGUGCUUGGGCGAGAGUAGUACUAAGAUGGGUGACUUCUUGGGAAGUUCUCGUGUUGCACCCC
rfam:Ricinus communis cultivar Hale ctg_1100012362469, whole genome shotgun sequence.